CUUAUGUAAAUAAGUUAUUUCUGUUUUUUUUUUUAUGUGCAAACAUUUUUGCUUUGUCGUUAAGGGGUAUUUUGUCUAGAUUGCUGAGGAUUUGUAUUAUUUAACCCAUUUUAAAAUAAGGCUGUAAUGUAACAAAAUGUGGAAAAAGCCAAGGGGUCUGGAUACUUUCUGAAUGCACUAGGUUUUGGAUACAGCACAGUUGUCAAAAGGGUGAGAGGAGCGAUGUACUGUGCCUGUUGAGAGAGGGGAUCUGAAAGGUAGAGAUGGCCUUCAGAGAUUAUUCAUUAAAGGGAUUUAGGGCUCUAUUAAAUCCGUAUUGCGGAAGUUCGGCAUUACAGCGUGAUAGAAAUGUAAAAGCAUUGUUCCUGAGUUAGCGGUAAACACUUCAUAUGUUGACUUCAGUAAUACAGAUUGAAGAGCCUUUUGAUCAUGGGGCAUAUUCAGUGGUUUGCUAUCAAGGUUGCAGAUGAAAUGUAUGUGUAACGUCAGUUCUCAAUCAAAUGCCUGUUCUAUACAUUACACUUCAAUCUACAUUCUGAGUGUUGGUUAUUUUUAAGGGGCAGCCCAAUUUCAGUCCAUAUAUCUACAUAAUCGAUCACAUACUGUUUAAUGUAUCUGUUUAUUGAUUACCUGCAUAGCUCUACUUCGGGACAGUCAUUGGGAACCCCUGUUUUAAGGGAAGUAUCUGUUUUAAAUACAAUUUCCUAUUCCCUAUCACUUCGAUCGAUCCCAUUUUGUAAUGAGGGAUUGUGUUCCCUUACACAUUAGAAAAACAAGGGAUAUGGUAUACUUUUGUACACUUUUCUGGGUGGAUGUGCAAUGUGUUGUAUUGACAAUAAAUGUGAUUUCUGCCCUUAAAUGGUCUUCUCAGUGAAUAGCUCAGGAACUAAUAAAUAAUUCAUUGGAUUUAUAUAGUGCUCAAAAGAGUAAGGGGGAACACCUCUACCAAUGUGUACCACAAACAAUAUUAUCCAAGCUGUAAAUAUAACCUUGUGUAUUGUAUAACAUUCAAUCAAGC
ensembl:lncRNA